GACGAACGCUGGCGGCGUGCUUAACACAUGCAAGUCGAACGGAAAGGCCCUGCUUUUGUGGGGUGCUCGAGUGGCGAACGGGUGAGUAACACGUGAGUAACCUGCCCUUGACUUUGGGAUAACUUCAGGAAACUGGGGCUAAUACCGGAUAGGAGCUCCUGCUGCAUGGUGGGGGUUGGAAAGUUUCGGCGGUUGGGGAUGGACUCGCGGCUUAUCAGCUUGUUGGCGGGGUAGUGGCUUACCAAGGCUUUGACGGGUAGCCGGCCUGAGAGGGUGACCGGCCACAUUGGGACUGAGAUACGGCCCAGACUCCUACGGGAGGCAGCAGUGGGGAAUAUUGCACAAUGGGCGGAAGCCUGAUGCAGCAACGCCGCGUGCGGGAUGACAGCCUUCGGGUUGUAAACCGCUUUCGCCUGUGACGAAGCGUGAGUGACGGUAAUGGGUAAAGAAGCACCGGCUAACUACGUG
rnacentral:rRNA from 1 species